rnacentral:lncRNA from 10 species
CUCCUGAGUAGCUGGGAUUACAGGCGCCCACCACCACGCCGGCUAAUUUUGUAUUUUUUUAGUAGAGACGGGGUUUCACCAUGUGGGCCAGGCUGGUCUUGAACUCCUGAUCUCAGAUGAUCCAUCUGCCUCAGCCUCCCAAAGUGCUGGGAUUACAGGUGUAAGCCACCAUGCCCAGCCUAGAAUUUCUCAUUUUCAAACCCAUGCUUUAGCAGGGAGACUUAGCUGUAAAUAAACAUGCUUUACAUGCACAGUAAGAAAAUCAGAGAAAAUAACAUUACAGAAUCUAGCAUCUUUUAGAGUCUUUGGAUGGAAGUUUCUUUUUUUUCCCCCUGUGUACUGUUUGACAGUUUCACUGCUAACAUUUUAACUCCUUCACUUCUGUAUGCACCAUCUAAGAGGUGAUGAGUCGUCAUUUUCUUUCCCUAAGGACCUGAGGGGCAGAGAGGUUAACAAUUUAGCCCAGGACACAUUUUUAGAGGUAGAACUAUGACCAGAAGUCCUAGAUAUCCUGACUUUACCUCCUAAAGUGCUGGGAUUACAAGUGUGAGCCACCGCGCCCGGAUGGUGAUGGUUCUUUUCUAUUUUCUUUUUAUUUUUUGGGACAGGGUUUUGCUCUGUCACCCAGGCUGGAGUGCAGUGGUGUGAUUAUGGCUCACUGCAGCCUCAACCUCCUGGCUCAAGCCAUCCUCCACCCUCAGCUUCCUAUGUAGUUGGGUCUACAGGUGCAUGCCACCAUGCCUAGCUAGAAUUUUAUUUUUUAGAGAGAUAGAGUCUCACUAUAUUGCCCAGCCUGGUCUCGAACUCCUGGGCUCAAGUGAUCCUCCUGCCUCAGCCUUCCAAAGGGCCAAGAUUACAAGCAUGAGCCACUGCACCAGGCUCGACACUUAUUUUCAAUCCAAUUUCUAAAGCACUAUAAUUUGAUUGUUAUCUAGAUAUGGGGACCACCUGCCAUAUUCUUUAAAUGGUGGCCAUAGCUGAAUUUUGUGGGAAAAAAUGCAUUGCAUUUUAUAGAAUAUGG